rnacentral:rRNA from 1 species
UACGGGGGGGGCAAGCGUUGUUCGGAAUUACUGGGCGUAAAGGGCUUGUAGGUGGCCAACUAAGUCAGACGUGAAAUCCCUCGGCUUAACCGGGGAACUGCGUCUGAUACUGGAUGGCUAGAGUGUGGGAGAGGGAUGCGGAAUUCCAGGUGUAGCGGUGAAAUGCGUAGAUAUCUGGAGGAACACCGGUGGCGAAGGCGGCAUCCUGGACCAACACUGACGCUGAGUGAGCGAAAGCCAGGGGAGCAAACGGG